CCUACGGGGGGCAGCAGUAGGGAAUAUUGCUCAAUGGGGGAAACCCUGAAGCAGCAACGCCGCGUGGAGGAUGAAGGUUUUCGGAUUGUAAACUCCUUUUGUUAGAGAAGAUAAUGACGGUAUCUAACGAAUAAGCACCGGCUAACUCCGUGCCAGCAGCCGCGGUAAUAAGGAGGGUGCAAGCGUUACUCGGAAUCACUGGGCGUAAAGAGCGCGUAGGCGGGAUAGCAAGUCAGAUGUGAAAUCCUAUGGCUUAAACAUAGAACUGCAAUUGAAACUGUUAUUCUAGAGUAUGGGAGAGGUAGGUGGAAUUCUUGGGGUAGGGGUAAAAUUCGGAGAGAUUAAGAGGAAUACUCAUUGCGAAGGGGACCUGCUAGAACAUAAAUGACGCUGAUGGGCGAAAGAGUGGGGGGCAAACAGGAUUAGAUUACCCGAGUAGUC
rnacentral:rRNA from 1 species